GAGUUUGAUCGUGGCUCAGGAUGAACGCUAGCGACAGGCCUAACACAUGCAAGUCGAGGGGCAGCGAUAGGUGGCAACACCGAGUCGGCGACCGGCGCACGGGUGAGUAACGCGUAUGCAACUUGCCUAUCAGAGGGGGAUAACCCGUCAAAAGACGGACUAAUACCGCAUGAAACAGGGGUCCCGCAUGGGGAUAUUUGUUAAAGAUUACAUCGCUGAUAGAUAGGCAUGCGUUCCAUUAGGUAGUUGGUGGGGCAACGGCCCACCAAGCCGACGAUGGAUAGGGGUUCUGAGAGGAAGGUCCCCCCAACUGGUACUGAGACACGGACCAGACUCCUACGGGAGGCAGCAGUGAGGAAUAUUGGUCAAUGGGCAGAGCCUGAACCAGCCAAGUCGCGUGAGGGACGAAGG
rnacentral:rRNA from 1 species